AGUGAACGCUGGCGGCGUGCCUAAUACAUGCAAGUCGAGCGGACGCAUGAUAAGCGUUCUCUCCUACCGUUAGCGGCUGGCGGGUGAGUAACGCGUGGAUCACCAUCCUCUUUUACGUGGAUAACUUCGUAAGGCAGCAUCUGAUACUACCUCAUAUGUUCAACGGCUGGAUUCAAUAGUUAUUCACACUUUUCGUGUCUCUUAUAGCUGGAUCCGCGCCGCAUUAGCUAGUUGGUAAGGUAACGGCUUACCAAGGCAACGAUGCGUAGCCGACCUGAGAGGAUGAUCAGCCACACUGGAACUGAGACACGGUCCAGACUCCUACGGGAGGCAGCAGUAGGGAAUAUUCGGCAAUGGGCGAAAGCCUGACGGAGCAAUGCCGCGUGAGUGAAGAAGGUCUUCGGAUCGUAAAGCUCUGUUAUUGGGGAAGAACAGAUGUGGAAGAAAAUAUGCCUGUCCUGACGGUACCUAAUCAGAAAGCAACGGCUAACUACGUG
rnacentral:rRNA from 1 species